rnacentral:rRNA from 1 species
CCUACGGGAGGCAGCAGUGAGGAAUAUUGGUCAAUGGGCUUACGCCUGAACCAGCCAAGUCGCGUGAGGGAUGACUGCCCUAUGGGUUGUAAACCUCUUUUGUCAGGGAGCAAUUGGCGCUACGUGUAGCGUUAUCGAGAGUACCUGAAGAAAAAGCAUCGGCUAACUUCGUGCCAGCAGCCGCGGUAAUACGGGGGAUGCGAGCGUUAUCCGGAUUUUUUGGGUUUAAAGGGUGCGUAGGCGGAAUGCCAAGUCAGCGGUAAAAUCGCGGGGCUCAACCUCGCUCCGCCGUUGAAACUGGCGUUCUUGAGUGGGCGAGAAGUAUGCGGAAUGCGUGGUGGAGCGGUGAAAUGCAUAGAUAUCACGCAGAACUCCGAUUGCGAAGGCAGCAUACCGGCGCCCAACUGACGCUGAAGCACGAAAGCGUGGGUAGCGAACAGGAUUAGAUACCCGGGUAGUC